CCUACGGGUGGCAGCAGUGAGGAAUAUUGGUCAAUGGACGAGAGUCUGAACCAGCCAAGUAGCGUGAAGGAUGACUGCCCUAUGGGUUGUAAACUUCUUUUAUAUGGGAAUAAAAUGUUCCACGUGUGGGAUUUUGUAUGUACCAUAUGAAUAAGGAUCGGCUAACUCCGUGCCAGCAGCCGCGGUAAUACGGAGGAUCCGAGCGUUAUCCGGAUUUAUUGGGUUUAAAGGGAGCGUAGGUGGAUUGUUAAGUCAGUUGUGAAAGUUUGCGGCUCAACCGUAAAAUUGCAGUUGAAACUGGCAGUCUUGAGUACAGUAGAGGUGGGCGGGAUUCGUGGUGUAGCGGUGAAAUGCUUAGAUAUCACGAAGAACUCCGAUUGCGAAGGCAGUUCACUGGACUGCAACUGACACUGAGGCUCGAAAGUGUGGGUAUCAAACAGGAUUAGAUACCCUUGUAGUC
rnacentral:rRNA from 1 species